GUGUUUGCUUGGGCAGCACAUACAUUGAAAUUGGAACAGUUCAGAGAUUAGCAUAGCCCCUGGGUAAGGGUGACUCAUAAAUUGGUGAAGCGCUCCAUGGUCUA